UUUUGCUUCUACUGUUGUUAAAUAAUGCAAACUUGAUUAUUUCAUUACCAUCAUGAACCUUAGAUAUUUCUAAUUUAUGACAAGUUGUUACAAAUCCAACCAGGAAGGCUUGUUCUUGAUUUGCACAGACACAGUAUAGGGAUAACAUAGUGUAAAGUGUGAUGAACUGAGCUUGUCCCGAAACCUUCGAAGCUUCGAAUUUCAUUGACCCGUUCAUGAAAUUAAUUAUACAUAAAGACAAGUAAAACAAAUUAAAAGUGCAGAAGCAAAACUGCGUGCAUUGUUUGAUUUUGAGUAUGUGAUGUAAUCAGCAAUGAAGCGUAAUAGUGAAGUGAAAAAAAUGCAAUCAUAUUAAUUAACGCAUAUUGUUAACACUCUCCUUGCACCAGUGGUUGCUAUUUUGUGCAAUCAAGCUGAACAAAUUUCAAUUUGCACUUUCCUUGAAACUCAGAGUUGCUCUGCAGUAAUGAGAAAGUUUAUUCCUAUACAUCAUCAUUGUAUCAUAUUGAUAAAAGUAUUUUGUCCUCGUAGGGUGAUGUAUCGAUCGAUCUGUCCUAUCAUAAUCAUUGCUUCACGCACGUAGCUUGAUAAGACAAAAUGAGUGUGUUCUCCCAUGUCAAGGUGUGGAGAGUAAUUGAACGGAAUCUACUGACGACCUGACAUUUCUGCACUUAAUAAUCGAAUUGUUUCUCUGGGUCUUGUUAUCCUAUUCUUUUGGCUGUCCAUCGAAACCGUCUCAGUUCAACAAAAAACUAUUACUUCAUUGCCAUUGAGAGAUAUAUAUCGGUUUGCUUUGGAAUUGGUUUCGUUUGUCUUGUCAGAUCCCCUUCAUGACAUCGGCUUAAUAUGACAAAUAAUCGCACUGUUUAAUAUUAUUAGAUAUCAAGGCGUUGAUUAGAAUAACGACAAAGUAUAUCGUCAUCUCGUUGAGAAAUAUCAUCCUCGGAUCUUAUUUUCAUCAAGUUUGCUGAUUCCUUUCCAGUUUUCUCCAGAGAGGAUGAUUUUUUGUUAAAUUUUUGUCAUUUUUCUUAUAGCUUUAUAAAUAGUACAACUCUUUUGAAGAUUAUUAGUUCUUAAGUUUGAGAAUACUCUUGUCACUACUGACACUAUUACAGGCACCCAGUAAUUUCUUGUUGCUGAUGAUAUCUGCAGCGUCGUGUGAUGACCAAUUACAUCAUGUUUGGGCUACUUCUCUUGUUAUCCUUGGUCUUACUUCAAGAAACAGCUCUUGCUGCUGAUCAAAAUUGCCCCGGAUUCAUUCAGUGUCCAUCAAAGAUGUUGGAAAGUGGAGACGUUGUACAAUUAGAACUAGUAGAAUUCAACACCUCAGCCAUACCAAGUUGGUUAAAUGUUUCACCUCCUAUAUCAAAAAGACUCUUCUGUGUAGAGCCAUUCUUACAGUCUUUAAGAC